GCCAUAACACCCGAAUGUUCCCAGUCCCAUCUGAUCUUGGGAGCUAAGCAGGGUUGUGCUUGGUUAGUACUUGAAUGGGAGGGUAAUGUAGCUAGAAAGGGCA
rnacentral:rRNA from 1 species